UACGUAGGGGGCAAGCGUUGUCCGGAAUCAUUGGGCGUAAAGGGUGCGUAGGCGGCGCGGUAAGUCGGGUGUGAAAUCUUGGAGCUUAACUCCGAAACUGCAUUCGAUACUGCCGUGCUUGAGGACUGGAGAGGAGACUGGAAUUUACGGUGUAGCGGUGAAAUGCGUAGAUAUCGUAAGGAAGACCAGUGGCGAAGGCGGGUCUCUGGACAGUUCCUGACGCUGAGGCACGAAGGCCAGGGGAGCAAACGGGG
rnacentral:rRNA from 1 species